rnacentral:tRNA from 1 species
UAGCUUAGUUGUUAAAGCACUCGUCUAGCACACAAGAUUCGUGAGUUCAAAUCGCAC